CCUACGGGAGGCAGCAGUGGGGAAUUUUGGACAAUGGGGGCAACCCUGAUCCAGCCAUGCCGCGUGAGUGAAGAAGGCCUUCGGGUUGUAAAGCUCUUUCGGCCGGAACGAAAUCGCGUACGCAAAUAACGUGCGUGGAUGACGGUACUGGAAGAAGAAGCACCGGCUAACUACGUGCCAGCAGCCGCGGUAAUACGUAGGGUGCGAGCGUUAAUCGGAAUUACUGGGCGUAAAGCGUGCGUAGGCGGUUCUGCAAGUCAGAUGUGAAAUCCCCGGGCUUAACCUGGGAACUGCGUUUGAAACUACGGAGCUAGAGUGUGGCAGAGGGGGGUGGAAUUCCACGUGUAGCAGUGAAAUGCGUAGAUAUGUGGAGGAACACCGAUGGCGAAGGCAACCCCCUGGGCCAACACUGACGCUGAGGCACGAAAGCGUGGGGAGCAAACAGGAUUAGAUACCCUGGUAGUCCACGCCCUAAACUAUGUCAACUAGUUGUCGGGAAAGCAAUUUCUUGGUAACGAAGCUAACGCGUGAAGUUGACCGCCUGGGGAGUACGGUCGCAAGAUUAAACUCAAAGGAAUUGACGG
rnacentral:rRNA from 1 species